UGAGGAAUAUUGCGCAAUGGGGGCAACCCUGGCGCAGCGACGCCGCGUGAGUGAGGAAGGCCUUCGGGUCGUAAAGCUCUGUCAAAGGGAAAGAAGUGCAUGGUGGCUAAUACCUGCCAUGUUUGACGGUACCCUUAAAGGAAGCACCGGCUAACUCCGUGCCAGCAGCCGCGGUAAUACGGAGGGUGCAAGCGUUGUUCGGAAUAACUGGGCGUAAAGGGCGCGUAGGCGGUUUGAUAAGUCAGAUGUGAAAGCCCACGGCGUAACUGUGGAAGUGCAUUUGAAACUGUCACGCUAUAGUAAGGGAUAGGAAAGUGGAAUUCCUGGUGUAGAGGUGAAAUUCGUAGAGAUCAGGAGGAACACCGGUGGCGAAGGCGACUUUCUGGCCCUAGACUGACGCUGAGACGCGAGAGCGUGGGGGGCAAACA
rnacentral:rRNA from 1 species